rnacentral:lncRNA from 1 species
CCCUGCCUCAACCUCUGUCGACCUCUGCGCGGAGUCCCCCACGCUCUUCACAGGGAGAGAGAAGUGAGCGGGCUGUGAACCUGCACAGGCAACAAGACAGGAUUUUGGCCAAACCCGCUUGACAGGUUUUCGAUUCUCCCAGCCAGGAGCAGAAAGGAGGCAGAGACUGCCCUGAGCCGCCAGGCGGGUUCUGCCAUCUCGCAGAAAGUGGCCGGACAGGUUGGGUCUGAAGCCACAUAGAGUUGGGAUUGUUUCCUCAUAAUCACUGUGAGGCUGGGCUGCAGGAGCCAAGCUGGUUAGCACUGAGAAUCCAGUUUGGUGCCUGUGACACGGAGGGCCCGGGCGGGGAAGGGUGGGGGGCUUGCAGGGGUGCCUGGGUCGGGGGCUGCAGGUGGGAGUGAGCAAAUGUGCUGUCUCGCCACCUCGGGACAGGUGGUAGGGCCUCUGACACAGAGUGGUCCUUCCUGCUGUUCACAGCUCAGCUCACCGUGGGCUGACCAUAGGUAGGUGACAGUCCCCUUUCUGGCCUCGGUUUCCCUGUCUGUAAAUUGGGGAUAAUAAGCUCAAGAGCUGUCCCUGCCAGAACCCAGUGGACAGAAAUCCAGCAGCUGCUAUGGGAAGCGACCCGCCCAGCCUGCCCCGCCCUGCCUGGGGAAGCAGGCCUUCUGCUUGAGGGGGACUGGGCGCAUGCUGGGCCUCUGGUCUGCGCAGUCUGCCCGGGGUCUGUGAGUGCUUGUGAGUGGGCUUCUCCAGUCUCCAGGUAGGCUGGGUGCCCCCGGCCAGGUGGAGCCCAGGGGGGCAAAUAGGCUGGGGGCUGGCCUGGCCCCGGGUGGCACGGCCCAGGUGCUGGAGCAGCCUCACACUGUGGUCUCGUGUGUGUUCCCUGGACAGCAACACUGUGGCUGCGGGGUACAGCCCUGACCCCCUCAUGCCUUGCCCCCUGUGUCCUACCCACGACCCCUCCCCACUCCCUCCUCCCCGCCUCCACCUCCGCCUCUGCCUCAUCCUCAGCCUGUCUUAGCUCUGCACGGAAGCAGAGCGGGGGUUCCCGAGUCCUUGGGGCCAUGAUCCCCAGCGCACCCGAGUACCCCAGGAAUGCACGGGGCUCAGAGGAGGAAGCCUGGGAGCCUGGCCUGUAGCCGCUGCCGCGAGGGGAGGACGGACUUCCUGCUCCCUGGCAGGGCCCCUGCUGGUGGCUGGUGGCCAGCUCUGGGUUUGGGAUGAGGGCUGGGUCAUCUCUGGCCCCACGAUGCCCUCCCACUCAGGACCAGGCUCUUGGGAGGGGGUUGUGGUCAGCAUGGGCCACUCCAGCUCUGGCUGGCCUGGGAACUUCGUGGAGGCCCCUCCUCCGGCCACCUCCCUGUUCCUGGCUGGGCCCUUUGUGAGUGGGGUCUGCUUGCUGCUGGCGUGUGUUUUGUGUGUGCCUGUGUGGGGACUGUGUGCACGUGUGUGUGUGUGUGUGUGUGGGGAUACGAAUGUGUGUGCAUGUCUUACAUGUGUGUGCCUGUGUGUGCAUGUGUUGCACGUGUGUGUGUGCACAUGUGUGCGUGGACAUGUGUAGCUGCUUUGUGCUGUGGUCUGGAUGUUUUUUGUGUCUACCCCAGAUUCUCGUUGAAAUCCUAACGCCCCAGGCAAUGAUGUUAGGAGGCGGGGCUUCUGGGAGAUGGCAAGUUCGUGAGGCUGCAGCUCUGCUGGGGGAUCAGUGUCCUUCUACAAGCGGCUCCAGGGAGGUCCCUUGCCCCUUCCACCAUGUGAGGACCCGAGAUGGUGCCGUCUAUGAACCGGGAAGUGAGUCCUCUCCGGACGUGGAACAAGUUGGUGCCUUGAUUUUGAACUUGCAGCCUCCAGCUGCUGUCUAACACCACCGGCUCGACCUUGAGUUCCUCCCUGAGCAAAGCCAAGCGACCUCCUGGACUGAGCCAGUUUUCGUGCCUGCCUGCCCUGGCUCAUUGGCCAGGGACCCCACCCCGCCAUGUCCAGGCCUUGGUGAUACAGGACAGAGGUGCCCGUGCAGGUUGUGCCUGUGGCUGGGUCCCCAGGGAGAAGGUGGCAACCCCAGGCCAGCAGCCUCCUACCCUGAACUCCAGGCAACAUCGUCGGCCCCCUGGCACUGCACCUGCACUGUGGGCAGAGAAGGAGGGAAGGCUGGGAGAGGAGGAGGAGGUCGAAUGUCGCUGGAGGUCGGCGUCCUUCUGCAGCCGUGGGUGAGCCGCUGCUUGGGGUGAGCAUGCUUCCUGCUGGAUGCUUCUCUAUGUAAGCACCUGCCUGAGUGUCAGCCCUCUUAAGGUGAACCGCUCCGUGUCAUUCGUACAUUCACAAGUUUGUGCCGCCAUCAUCGUGAUCGGAUUCCAAAACAUUUUCAUCACCUCCAAGAAAGCCUUGUACCUGGCAGCAGUCACUGUCUCUAUGGAUUUGCUUAUUCUGGACAUUUCAUAAAAAUAGAAUCAAACAGCAUUUGGCUCUUCGUGUCUGGCCUGUUUCUCUGAGCACGAUAUUUCGAAGAUUCAGCUGGGUCUCGCUCCUGUUCCUGGCUGAAGCUGAAUAAUAUUCCAGUGCACGGCUGGACCACAGUCAUCAACUGACGGACACUUGGUGGUCUCACAUUUCCACUGGUGUGAAUAGUCCUGCUGUGAACAUGCGUGUGCGAGAUUUUGGUUGAACACUUGUCCUCAGUCCUCUUGGGGCAGUGCCAGCCUUGGCAGACGGGCCGGACAGAGGAGGGAUGAUGGCUCAGGCUGGCAGGGGCUGCCACGGGGCAGCGAUGGCCACCUCGAGCCUGGCCAGUGCUUCUGGACUUCCUCUCUGCUGACUUUGUUCCCUGGCUAGAAACAGUUGUGGCAGCGCUCCCAGACCGGGCGUCUGCACGGAGUGGCCUCAGCUUCCUUGAGCUGUGGGAAUUUAACG